rnacentral:rRNA from 1 species
UACGUAGGGCGCAAGCGUUAUCCGGAAUUAUUGGGCGUAAAGAGCUCGUAGGCGGCUUGUCGCGUCGGCUGUGAAAUCCCGUGGCUCAACUGCGGGUCUGCAGCCGAUACGGGCAGGCUAGAGUUCGGUAGGGGAGACUGGAAUUCCUGGUGUAGCGGUGAAAUGCGCAGAUAUCAGGAGGAACACCUGCGGCGAAGGCGGGUUGCUGGGCUGACACUGACGCUGAGGCGCGAAAGCUAGGGGAGCGAACGGG